CCAUUGGAGGAGCUGUGAGACUUCCAAGCAAGAAUCUCUGCCUGGACCUCAGGGGGUCCGGGAGACCACCCCUGGGUGAACGGCAGGCCUGCUGGUUAACGCAGAGGAACUCUUCCAGCAGGCCGAAGGGGACGGUUCAGCUACCAGACUGUGGCUUCUCUCUCCGGACAGUGACGCUGAGGUCUGACGCCCCCAGACCUUAUUGCGUGGCCUCCUGGGGGUGGCUCUUGUACCUUUGGGGCAGCAGAUCCUGGCCUGGGGCCUCGGAGGGCUUUCCUCCAGGGCUCGAAACCUUUAUGGAGCCAGGCUUGGGGACACAGGAAUUGGCUUACACAAUCAUGGUGGCUGAGAAGUCCCACCAUCUGCCAUCUGCAAGCUGGAGACUCAGGAAAGCGUGAUUCAAUCCAAGUCUGCAGGCCUGAGAACCAGGGGAGCUGAUGGUGUAAGUCUCAGUGCAAGUCCAGAGGCCUGGGAAUUGGGGGGCUGAUGGUG
rnacentral:lncRNA from 1 species